GCCUGACUAGCUCAGUCAGUAGAGCACAAAACUCUUAAUCUUAGGGUUGUGGGUUCAAACCCCAUGUUUGGGG
rnacentral:tRNA from 1 species